UACGUAGGGCGCAAGCGUUAUCCGGAAUUAUUGGGCGUAAAGAGCUCGUAGGCGGUUUGUCGCGUCUGCCGUGAAAGUCCGGGGCUCAACUCCGGAUCUGCGGUGGGUACGGGCAGACUAGAGUGAUGUAGGGGGAGACUGGAAUUCCUGGUGUAGCGGUGAAAUGCGCAGAUAUCAGGAGGAACACCGAUGGCGAAGGCAGGUCUCUGGGCAUUAACUGACGCUGAGGAGCGAAAGCAUGGGGAGCGAACAG
rnacentral:rRNA from 1 species